rnacentral:tRNA from 1 species
AUUUUUCUAGUAUAACAAGUAUAGCUGACUUCCAAUCAACAGGUCUGGACCACCAGGAAAAAUA